CUCUAGGUAGCUCAGUUGGUAGAGCAAACGACCGAUAAUCGUUAGGUCACAGGUUCGAAUCCUGUCCUAGAGACCA
rnacentral:tRNA from 1 species